AUACUUACCAGGCAGGAGAGACACCAUGAUCAGGCAGGUGGUUUUCCUGGGGCAAGGCUCCUCCCUGGCACUCUGGGUGUGCUGACCCCUGAGGUUUCCCCAGCUGCAGAAACUCGACUGCUAUUCUGUGGUAGUGAGGGACUGCAUCCACACUCUCCCCUG